AUGCUUGCUUCGGCAGCACAUAUACUCAGAUUGAAACGAUACAGAGAAGAUGAGCAUGGCCCCUGUGCAAGGAUCACAUGCAAAUUCGCAAAGUGUUGCAUAUAUUU